GGUGGGGGUGGGUUGGGGGGAAUUUACCCCGGGCUUGCCCGUCAAGGGUAAACUGGACGAUCGCGAUCUUUUUACGGAGGUUGACAGCCCGCCUCAGGCACGGUCAAGCUGGGAGGGGCAGUGUUUCCGAUGCACCCCCAUCCAUCCUUUCAUCACUCUGGAGUUGUGGUCCAAGGCUGCAGUGUUGCCAGGACAGAUGUUGGCCGCUGCCCAGCAGCGGUUACCACAGUAACGCAUAACAGAGCGCGCGCCGCUGCCCGUUGCCCCCAGGGACCAAUGGGGAAGGGGGAGGAAGGGGGGAGUGGCGCGGGCCUCUGAAGAGCCGUUCCCCUUCAACCCCAAACAACAACAAAUUUACCCUGACAAACCUGAGCGCCCCGGUCACCGCUCCGACAACGAUGGCACAAACUUUCAGCAGCUUUAAAAACACACCUCCACGAAGCUGAGUGACUUACUCCCUGAGGGUUUAAUCUGGCUCCCAUUCUUACCGUCGUCUCCUCAAGAAGAGCCCGCGACGCCCCUUUCUCUUCGCCGGCCACCCACCCCCCCACGGCCUCCUGACCACCAGCAAGGCAUUAAAGGAUUAUUGCUUCCUCAAUUAAGUCUUACAGUCUGGACUACACUGAAAGACGAGAAAAGGUUUCAGGUGGAAAUAAAUAACCCACUGUACUACUUCAAGGAGGAGUAAGGAGUACUCCUGCAAGGGAGUCAAAGGUUAUAAAACAGGCAGGAAGUUGGAGUUAAGGCUACAAUCAGAUCAGCCAUUAUCCUAUUGAAUGGCAGAGCAGGCUCAAGCAGCCAAAACGGUGGCUUCUUCUAUUUCUUAAUUUUUUUCCAUUCCUGGUGCUUUGGUCAAUACAGUACUUAUCUAUCAGCCAAUAUUUCUAAAUAUUUGGUCACAUAUCUCAGUCUGUUGUAGAACUCUGUUGUGUAAAAAAUUAUUGCCAUAUUUUCUACAUUACAAUAGCCACACCUUAACAAAAACAUUGUACUUUGUUUGUUGUAAAAAGUUUGAAACAUCCUGAGGUUGUGAAAGGCAAUCGUAAGAUGGUCCUUUUAUUUUAAAUAACUCCAUCAAAGCUUUCCAAAGUCUGUUUUUUCUCUUGUAAGAAGACCCAGCUCUGAGUCUAGUCCUUAUGGACUGAACUGAAAAUAUCAAAUGUAAACGAACAGAUGGAAAUAAUUUACAUUUAAAUGACAGUUAAAAUAAUGUACUGAGGUUAUAGUAUUUGGAACUAAACACUUCCAGACCUAAUAAAACCAAUAUAUUGCCCUGUCGUAAUUGUUUGAAAAUAUGAUGAUUGAUGGCCAACACUAAUCUGAAAAAUUUUAUGGAACUAAGCCCAAGGCAGAUCUCCUCAUAAAGAUCAUUGAUGGAAUCUUUCUGAAGAAUAUUAA